rnacentral:rRNA from 1 species
CAGUAGCCGCGGUAAUACGUAGGUGGCAAGCGUUGUCCGGAAUUAUUGGGCGUAAAGGGCUCGCAGGCGGUUCCUUAAGUCUGAUGUGAAAGCCCCCGGCUCAACCGGGGAGGGUCAUUGGAAACUGGGAAACUUGAGUGCAGAGGAGGAGAGUGGAAUUCCACGUGUAGCGGUGAAAUGCGUAGAGAUGUGGAGGAACACCAGUGGCGAAGGCGACUCUCUGGUCUGUAACUGACGCUGAGGAGCGAAAGCGUGGGGAGCGAACAGGAUUAGAGACCCCAGUAGUCCCUGUCUCUUAUAC